rnacentral:rRNA from 1 species
GACGUAGGGCGCGAGCGUUGUCCGGAUUUAUUGGGCGUAAAGAGCUCGUAGGCGGCUUGUCGCGUCGUCCGUGAAAACCUGCAGCUCAACUGCAGGCUUGCGGUCGAUACGGGCAGGCUAGAGUUCGGUAGGGGAGACUGGAAUUCCUGGUGUAGCGGUGAAAUGCGCAGAUAUCAGGAAGAACACCCGUGGCUAAGGCGGCUCUCUAGUACGGUACUGGACGCUGAGACGCGAAAGCGUGGGGAGCGAACAGG